GAUUAGAUACCCCUGUAGUCCUGGCCGUAAACGAUGAACACUAGGUGUCGGGGGAAUCGACCCCCUCGGUGUCGUAGCCAACGCGUUAAGUGUUCCGCCUGGGGAGUACGCACGCAAGUGUGAAACUCAAAGGAAUUGACGGGGGCCCGCACAAGCGGUGGAGUAUGUGGUUUAAUUCGAUGCAACGCGAAGAACCUUACCAGGGUUUGACAUCCUGCGAAUCUCUUGGAAACAGGAGAGUGCCUUCGGGAACGCAGUGACAGGUGGUGCAUGGCUGUCGUCAGCUCGUGUCGUGAGAUGUUGGGUUAAGUCCCGCAACGAGCGCAACCCACGUCUUUAGUUGCCAGCAUUUAGUUGGGCACUCUAGAGAGACUGCCGGUGAUAAACCGGAGGAAGGUGUGGAUGACGUCAAGUCAUCAUGCCCCUUACAUCCUGGGCUACACACGUACUACAAUGCUACGGACAAAGGGCUGCAAGUUCGCGAGGACAAGCAAAUCCCAUAAACCGUGGCUCAGUUCAGAUCGUAGGCUGCAACUCGCCUACGUGAAGGCGGAAUCGCUAGUAAUCGCAGGUCAGCAUACUGCGGUGAAUACGUUCCCGGGCCUUGUACACACCGCCCGUCACACCAUGGAAGUUGGCCACGCCCGAAGCCGUUACUCCAACCCUUGUGGAGGAGGACGUCGAAGGUGGGGCUGAUGACUGGGGUGAAGUCGUAACAAGGUAACCGUA
rnacentral:rRNA from 1 species